rnacentral:rRNA from 1 species
AGGGAAUCUUCGGCAAUGGACGAAAGUCUGACCGAGCAACGCCGCGUGAGUGAGGAAGGUCUUCGGAUCGUAAAGCUCUGUUGCCAGGGAAGAACGACUCCGGGAGGGAAUGCCCGGAGGUUGACGGUACCUGAGAAGAAAGCCCCGGCUAACUACGUGCCAGCAGCCGCGGUAAUACGUAGGGGGCAAGCGUUGUCCGGAAUUAUUGGGCGUAAAGCGCGCGCAGGCGGUUCUUUAAGUCUUGUGUUUAAGCCCGGGGCUCAACCCCGGUACGCAUGGGAAACUGGAGGACUGGAGUGCAGGAGAGGAAAGUGGAAUUCCACGUGUAGCGGUGAAAUGCGUAGAGAUGUGGAGGAACACCAGUGGCGAAGGCGACUUUCUGGCCUGUAACUGACGCUGAGGCGCGAAAGCGUGGGGAGCGAAC